UACAGAGGUGGCAAGCGUUGUUCGGAAUUACUGGGCGUAAAGGGCGCGUAGGUGGCCUUUUGAGUCAGACGUGAAAUCCCCCGGCUUAACCUGGGAACUGCGUCUGAUACUGGAAGGCUUGAGUUCGGGAGAGGGAUGUGGAAUUCCAGGUGUAGCGGUGAAAUGCGUAGAUAUCUGGAGGAAUACCGGUGGCGAAGGCGGCAUCCUGGACCGACAUUGACGCUGAUGAGCGAAAGCUAGGGGGAGCAAACGGGG
rnacentral:rRNA from 1 species